rnacentral:misc_RNA from 1 species
AACACAAAAUAUACAAGUAAUAUCACAGUACGUUUAAAAUCCUUCAUGUGCAUGAGACCAACAAUAUUUGUGUACCAUAAGCAUGAUAAAAUCAUAUUUAUGCAAGUAAAAUAAAAACUCUAAAGAAGUUGACUUGUCUAUUGUAAUAUUAAUUUACCAUACAAUAAUAACCAUUAGUUAUUAAAUAAAGAUGAACUCAUUUGUGAACCAGUCAACUAAAUACUGCAAAUAAAUUAGAACUCCUUGGAAUCUUUUGUGAUAAAAAAAUCUAUAAAAUUAAAAAGAACUAUAGUGUAUAAUCUAUAAUCUGUAGACAUGGAGUCAUGGACACAACCAUUGAUGUCAAAAUUUGUGUCCAUAUAUUUAGCAACUAAAUAAACUAAAUGAUUUAUCAAUAUUUUUCCAAUAAUUAAUGAGGUAAGAUGCUUUGUUUUCUUUGCAACUAUUACCUUUAGAUUAUGUAAAGAAAUCAAA